rnacentral:rRNA from 1 species
AACAAACGCUGGCGGCGUGCCUAACACAUGCAAGUCGUACGAGAAAGGGUCCUUCGGAGCCUGAGUAAAGUGGCGCACGGGUGAGUAACGCGUGGAUAAUCUGCCCUUCAGUUGGGAAUAACUCAUCGAAAGGUGGGCUAAUACCGAAUAAUGCUGUGAGACCUCGGUUGAUCAGCCAAAGAGAGCCUCUGCUUGCAAGCCCUCGCGGAAGGAUGAGUCCGCGUACCAUUAGCUAGUUGGUAGGGUAAUGGCCUACCAAGGCGACGAUGGUUAGCUGGGCUGAGAGGAUGAUCAGCCACACUGGAACUGAGACACGGUCCAGACUCCUACGGGAGGCAGCAGUGAGGAAUCUUGCGCAAUGGGGGCAACCCUGACGCAGCAACGCCGCGUGAGUGAGGAAGGUCUUCGGAUCGUAAAGCUCUGUCGGAUGGAAAGAACCGCAUAGGGGUAAACAGCCCCUGUGUCUGACGGUACCAUCAAAGGAAGCACCGGCUAACUCCGUGCCAGCCGCCGCUGUAAAAC